GGCGGACGGGUGAGUAACGCGUGGGAAUUUUUCCUGGAGUACGGAACAACCGAGGGAAACUUCGGCUAAUACCGUAUGAUAUCGAGAGAUCAAAGAUUUAUCGCUCUGGGGUGAGCCCGCGCCAGAUUAGGUAGUUGGUGGGGUAACGGCCUACCAAGCCUGCGAUCUGUAGCUGGUCUGAGAGGACGAUCAGCCACACUGGGACUGAGACACGGCCCAGACUCCUACGGGAGGCAGCAGUGGGGAAUCUUGCGCAAUGGGCGAAAGCCUGACGCAGCCAUGCCGCGUGAGUGAAGAAGGUCUUAGGAUUGUAAAGCUCUUUCGCUCGUGACGAUGAUGACGGUAACGAGAGAAGAAGCCCCGGCUAACUUCGUGCCAG
rnacentral:rRNA from 1 species